rfam:Stegodyphus mimosarum contig90592, whole genome shotgun sequence.
GCCUUCGUAGUGCAGUGGUCAGCACGCUCUACGCGUAACCGAGAGGUCCGUGGUUCGAUUCCGGGCGAAGGCG